CUGGGUGUAGCGCAGGUGGUAGCGCGCCAUCUUGGGGUGGUGGAGGUCGCGAGUUCGAGUCUCGCCACUCAGA
rnacentral:tRNA from 1 species